AUUGAACGCUGGCGGCAUGCCUUACACAUGCAAGUCGAACGGCAGCACGGGCUUCGGUCUGGUGGCGAGUGGCGAACGGGUGAGUAAUGUAUCGGAACGUACCUUUCAGUGGGGGAUAACGUAGCGAAAGUUACGCUAAUACCGCAUAUUCUGUGAGCAGGAAAGCAGGGGAUCGCACGACCUUGCGCUGAUUGAGCGGCCGAUAUCAGAUUAGCUAGUUGGUGAGGUAAAGGCUCACCAAGGCGACGAUCUGUAGCGGGUCUGAGAGGAUGAUCCGCCACACUGGAACUGAGACACGGUCCAGACUCCUACGGGAGGCAGCAGUGGGGAAUUUUGGACAAUGGGCGCAAGCCUGAUCCAGCCAUGCCGCGUGAGUGAAGAAGGCCUUCGGGUUGUAAAGCUCUUUCGGCCGGGAAGAAAUCGCAUGGGUUAAUACCCUGUGCGGAUGACGGUACCGGCAUAAGAAGCACCGGCUAACUACGUGCCAGCCGCCGCAGUAAUAC
rnacentral:rRNA from 1 species